rnacentral:rRNA from 1 species
GAUGAACGCUGGCGGCGUGCCUAACACAUGCAAGUCGAACGGACUUACAUUGAAGCCUAGCGAUAUGUAAGUUAGUGGCGGACGGGUGAGUAACGCGUGGGUAACCUGCCUUGUACUGGGGGACAACAGUUGGAAACGACUGCUAAUACCGCAUAAGCGCACAGCUUCGCAUGAAGCAGUGUGAAAAACUCCGGUGGUACACGAUGGACCCGCGUCUGAUUAGCUGGUUGGUGAGGUAACGGCCCACCAAGGCGACGAUCAGUAGCCGGCCUGAGAGGGUGAACGGCAACAUUGGGACUGAGACACGGCCCAAACUCCUACGGGAGGCAGCAGUGGGGAAUAUUGCACAAUGGGGGAAACCCUGAUGCAGCAACGCCGCGUGAGUGAAGAAGUAUUUCGGUAUGUAAAGCUCUAUCAGCAGGAAAGAAAAUGACGGUACCUGACUAAGAAGCCCCGGCUAACUACGUGCCAGCAGCCGCCGUAA